CGGAAUCCCCUUGAGUUUGAUAUGGCUCAGGAUGAACGCUGGCGGCGUGCCUAAGACAUGCAAGUCGAGGGGGUUUAGACCCCCGGCGAACGGGUGAGUAAUACGUGGGAACUUUCGUUAAGUUCGGGAUAAUCCACCGAAAGGUGGGACAAUACCGAAUGUGAUCGCGAGAUUAAAGAUUUAUCGCUUAACGUGAGGCCCGCGCCCCAUCAGCUAGUUGGUAAGGUAAAGGCUUACCAAGGCUACGACGGGUAGCGGAACCGAGAGGUUGAUCCGCCACACUGGGACUGCGACACGGCCCAGACUCCUACGGGAGGCAGCAGUUUGGAAUUUUGGACAAUGGACGAAAGUCUGAUCCAGCGACGCCGCGUGCACGACGAAGGUCUUCGGAUCGUAAAGUGCUUUUGCAGGGAACGAAUUUUUAACGGUACCCUGAGAAUAAGAGGUUGCUAACUCUGUGCCAGCAGCAGCGGUAAUACAGAGACCUCAAGCGUUAUCCGGAAUUAUUGGGCGUAAAGCGUACCGACAGGUGGUUUGGUUAGUCUUGGGUGAAAUCCUGAAGCUCAACUUCAGAUUUGCCCAGGAUACUGCCAGACUAGAGGGGCAAAGAGGAGACUGGAACGAACGGUGUAGUAGUGAAAUGCGUUGAUAUCGUUCGGAACACCGAAAGCGAAGGCAGGUCUCUGGGUGCCACCUGACACUGCUAGGACGAAAGCGUGGGGAGCGAAUGGGAUUAGAUACCCCAGU
rnacentral:rRNA from 1 species